CCGGGUUCGGUUCAGACUCUGGAGGUUCUGUUACAGCCGGUUCAGACUCUGGAGGUUCUGUUACAGCCGGUUCGGUUCAGACUCUGGAGGUUCUGUUACAGCCGGUUCAGACUCUGGAGGUUCUGUUACAGCCGGUUCGGUUCAGACUCUGGAGGUUCUGUUACAGCCGGUUCAGACUCUGGAGGUUCUGUUACAGCCGGUUCGGUUCAGACUCUGGAGGUUCUGUUACAGCCGGUUCGGUUCAGACUCUGGAGGUUCUGUUACAGCCGGUUCGGUUCAGACUCUGGAGGUUCUGUUACAGCGGGUUCGGUUCAGACUCUGGAGGUUCUGUUACAGCCGGUUCAGACUCUGGAGGUUCUGUUACAGCG